UACGGAAGGCAGCAGUGGGGAAUAUUGCACAAUGGGCGCAAGCCUGAUGCAGCCAUGCCGCGUGUAUGAAAAAGGCCUUCGGGUUGUAAAGUACUUUCAGUCGUGAGGAAGGUGUUAAGGUUAAUAACCUUAGCAAUUGACGUUAGCGACAGAGGAAGCACCGGCUAACUCCGUGCCAGCAGUCGCGGUAAUACGGAGGGUGCGAGCGUUAAUCGGAAUUACUGGGCGUAAAGGGCACGCAGGCGGUUAAUUAAGUUGGAUGUGAAAUCCCCGGGCUUAACCUGGGAAUGGCAUUCAAGACUGGUUAGCUAGAGUCUUGUAGAGGGGGUAGAAUUCCAUGUGUAGCGGUGAAAUGCGUAGAGAUGUGGAGGAAUACCGGUGGCGAAGGCGGCCCCUGGACAAAGACUGACGCUCAUGUGCGAAAGCGUGGGGAGCAAACAGGGAUUAGAUACC
rnacentral:rRNA from 1 species